rnacentral:rRNA from 1 species
CCUACGGGUGGCAGCAGUGGGGGAUAUUGCACAAUGGGGGAAACCCUGAUGCAGCGACGCCGCGUGUGGGAAGACGGUCCUCUGGAUUGUAAACCACUGUUCUAAGGGACGAAGAUGAUGGUACGUGGGGAGGAAGCUUCGGCUAACUACGUGCCAGCCGCCGCGGUAAGACGUAGGGAGCAAGCGUUGUCCGGAAUUACUGGGUGUAAAGGGAGCGUAGGAGGGAUGGCAAGGUGGGUGUAAAUUCUACCGGCUAAACUGGUAGUCGCACUCAAAACUGCUAUUCUUGAGUGAAGUAGAGGCAGGCGGAAUUCCUAGUGUAGCGGUGAAAUGCGUAGAUAUUAGGAGGAACACCAGUGGCGAAGGCGGCCUGCUGGACUUUUACUGACGCUGAGGCUCGAAAGUGUGGGGAGCAAACAGGAUUAGAUACCCGGGUAGUC